CACUUAAAUUACUAAUAUAUUUAUUCUGCAUAAAAAUUUAUAAAUUCUUAUAACGUAAUUUUUUCUUUCUAACGCAAUUCUAGAAUUUAGUACAUAGAUUACUAAUUAUGUUUAUCAAUCUAAUGCAUAUAAACAUACUUUUUCUUCCUGUUGUUUUCGCCAUACAAUAUGCCAAUUAUUUUAAAGUAAAUUCACGUGAUUUUAAAUCAUUGCCUUUGAAGAAUGUUGUGCAUGACAUUUGGUACACUACCCACUACAUGAAUGAAGUUCGUCUAAAUAAUGAAAAGAUUAUGUAUAAUAGAGAUAACCAGACUUAUACUAAUACACUCGAAAUUAUCUUAAGAAAAAUUAUGUUGUUAUUGUAUACAGACAUGCAAAUAUUUUUCAUCAGUGAAAUAGACAAAAUCAUUAAAAGUAAAAGUGACCAAAUGAUUAAUUUAAAAAAAAACAGUAUUUUAAAGCAUAUUGAUGCAAUUUUUCCGGGUUGUUAUUGCAUUCCUUAUAUUCUUGAUUAUUUGUACAAUAAAGAUGUUGACUUUGAAGAUUUACUUGGUUUAUUUUAUGCACUUUGUAUUGUUCCACGCAAUUAUGUUGAAUAUUAUUUUGAUUCAUUAGAUUAUGAAUCUACAAGAACCAAUAACCUAUACACAAACCUUAGAAAAUUUUUGUUGAACAAGUUUGGCAAGUCGUUUGUUUAUGAAAAAUAUUCACUGAAAGAAAUUGAUAGUGCUCGGGGUAAAUUUAAUAAUUGGAAUUUAUUUUUGGAAGAAGUAAGUCAAAAAUUAAAAAAGUUUAAAUCUAGUACUUGGAUAGUUCCAGAAAGGUUAACUUUUAGUUUUCUUAUGCGAAAUAAUAUAAUGGAAUACAACAAACACAUUCAAUUGUUAUUGAAAAGUCCUGUAGAAGUCAAUGAUAUUUAUAAGACAUCAUCAGUUGGCAAACGAGGGUUACAGGAAUUAUAUCGUAAUAUAGCUAGAUUUGAUGUGAACCCAAACACAUUACUAACAUUUUAUAACAUAGUUUUAAAGAAAAUGAAUGAAAUUUUUGAUUUGUUCUUAUAUCGCCAUUUAUUGAUUUUUUAUAUAGAUAUCCAAUCAGUUAAUUCAACCAAUAAAACUUCUUUUAUUGCAACUAUGAAGGGAAUUAUGAGCUAUUGUAACUGGAAAGCGAUUUUUGAUAGGUUUCGAGAUUUACUAUUAAAUUUGAAACAUACAUUUACUAGAACAUUCAAUCAGAGUAAAUUGGAACAAUGUAUAUUAAGUAAUAUUUUAUUGGACAACCAUUGCAGUCUAACUAAAAUUAAAUUCCAAAACGCAACAAGCAUAACAAAUGUUUUAUCAACUUUGCUUUAUGUAUUUCCAUCAAACUUAAGCCCCGAACUAAUCACAAACAAAAACAUAUUGUUGCAUAACUUCACUAUUGAUUUGAAAAGAACAGAAAAAUUAAUGAAGCAAAAUUAUGCUGAUGCAACAAAUUAUGUUAAUGAAUUGAUUUCAUUAUGUUCAAAAAAUAUAAACAUUCAAUAUGCAGUACCAUUCCUGAAAAAAUGUAUAGAAAAUUUUAAAUUAAGAUUUGAAUCAACCUGUUUUUGACAUUAUGUAAUACAUAAAAAUAUGUAAAUGAUUUAAUUCAUCAUGUUUAAUGCAUUUAAUACGUGAAUUGUACAAACAAGGCUAAAGUCGACAGGGUGCAUGCUAAACUAGGACAUGCGUAAUUUAUAGUAACGGCAAUUUAUAAAACGGGAACGUCGACACUUGUAAAUCACUAUAGAAUAAUGUAAGGGCACAUUUGAAAUAUCGGUGCUACCUCUAAACGUUAUUUAUUGUCACAGCACUAGGCUGUUGAAAAUAUUAUGACUAUCUUUUGUAUAAAGUUAUUUUUUGUUUUAAAUAAAUUGUUUUAAAAAAUUGUUUGAAUUAUUUACACAAUGAAAAAUGUUUAAUAUUUAUUUUGUCUACUUCAGUUAUAACACAUAGUGA